AUUGAACGCUGGCGGCAGGCCUAACACAUGCAAGUCGAACGAGUGGCGGACGGGUGAGUAAUGUCUGGGAAACUGCCUGAUGGAGGGGGAUCACUACUGGAAACGGUCGCCAAUACCCAAUACCAUCAUAUGUGCCCAGAUGGGAUUAGCUAGUUGGUGGGGUAACGGCUCACCAAGGCGACGAUCCCUCGCUGGUCUGAGAGGAUGACCAGCCACACUGGAACGAGGACACGGUCCAGACUCUAACGGGAGGAGGCGGGGGGGAAUAUUGGACAAUGGGCGCAAGCCUGAUGCAGCCAUGCCGGUGGUAUAAGGAGGGCCUUCGGGUUGUAAAGUACUUUCAGCGGGGAGGCGUUACCCGCAGAGAAAGCACCGGCUAACUCCGUGCCAGCAGCCGCGGUAAUAC
rnacentral:rRNA from 1 species